AAAGCCCAAGCUACAGACUCUGGUAUUCCCACGCACGAUUCGCGUAGGAGAAAGUGCUAGUGCGUUGUGCGCACUCGUGGGCCGUCGGUCCAACGGAAGUUUAGAUGGUUCAAGGAGAAGUCAGAUCGGUGGUGCGUGCCUAACGUGAAAGUGAGAACGACAAGAAGGUGUCCGUGCUUACCGUCGAGCCCGCCAACCUCCAAAGCGCCGGCAACUACACCUGCACGGCGGAGAACAAUUAUGGAACCGAUGCCAACUCUGCGACGUUAGUCGUCGAAGCCAUUCCGCAAUGGAUAGCAGAACCGAAAGACGCGUCAGUCACUGCUGGACAAGCGCUUCGAAUAGAGUGCUCAGCGUCUGGGUUUCCAGUACCUAAUGUAUCUUGGCGAAAAAUAGAACCUGGCAAGGACGCCAGCAAGACAUCAAUAGCCACUGGAAGCGGCUCAACAGCAUUGAUAGUGCCAAAAACUUCCAAGGAUACCGAAGGA
rnacentral:lncRNA from 1 species